rnacentral:pre_miRNA from 1 species
CUAUGCCUGGCUCCCUGUAUGCCACUCGCGUAGUUACCAAUCAAAACUAUCGAUUGGCUACUGCGGAUGGCGUGCGAGGAGCCAAGCAUGG